GUACACUCCUGCGGGAGGCAGCAGUGGGGAAUUUUGGACAAUGGGCGAAAGCCUGAUCCAGCCAUGCCGCGUGCAGGAUGAAGGCCUUCGGGUUGUAAACUGCUUUUGUACGGAACGAAACGGCCUUUUCUAAUAAAGAGGGCUAAUGACGGUACCGUAAGAAUAAGCACCGGCUAACUACGUGCCAGCAGCCGCGGUAAUACGUAGGGUGCAAGCGUUAAUCGGAAUUACUGGGCGUAAAGCGUGCGCAGGCGGUUAUGUAAGACAGUUGUGAAAUCCCCGGGCUCAACCUGGGAACUGCAUCUGUGACUGCAUAGCUAGAGUACGGUAGAGGGGGAUGGAAUUCCGCGUGUAGCAGUGAAAUGCGUAGAUAUGCGGAGGAACACCGAUGGCGAAGGCAAUCCCCUGGACCUGUACUGACGCUCAUGCACGAAAGCGUGGGGAGCAAACAGGAUUAGAUACCCCAGUAGUCC
rnacentral:rRNA from 1 species